ensembl:lncRNA novel transcript, antisense to FCGR1B
GUAAUGAGUUGGCCCUCAGUCAUCCCCGUCUAGUCUUACUGAGUUGCUUGUUAUCUGUGCUACGAGAUUAGAAAGGUUAAUAGGACCCAUCCUUUGGAAGUAGGAAAGUGGCAUAGAAGGAGAAGCUGAGUUAGAGAUCACUCACCCACUUGCCCAUCAACUGGAACUGCAAGAGAUCAGAGAAUAAAGAUAUCAGUUGGUCCAAGGAAAAUAAUGAGGAAGAGAGAAUUGGGGAGACAGAAUUAAUGUAGACUCUGAGGGAUCAACUCAGAUCUCUUGAGUUUCUAUUUCUCUUUCUCAAAAUCCAGUACUAACAGAACUGAACAAGCUACAGGUGGUUAUCAAGGAAACUUCACUGCGGUGUGUCCAGGCUUAAUGCUACCUCAGGGUUGCCCUUCCCAUCCUUUUCAUAAAAUAAGCUCUAAUAAACAGUGGAAGCACAGAUACAAGUUGCUUCAU